rnacentral:rRNA from 1 species
GAAAAGGAGCAAUCCGCUGAUAGAUGGGCUUGCGUCUGAUUAGCUAGUUGGUGGGGCAACGGCCUACCAAGGCGACGAUCAGUAGCCGGCCUGAGAGCUUGAACGGCCACAUUGGGACUGAGAUACGGCCCAGACUCCUACGGGAGGCAGCAGUCGGGAAUAUUGCGCAAUGGAGGAAACUCUGACGCAGUGACGCCGCGUAUAGGAAGAAGGUUUUCGGAUUGUAAACUAUUGUCGUGAGGGAAGAAAUUGACAGUACCUCAGGAGGAAGCUCCGGCUAACUAUGUGCCAGCAGCCGCGGUAAUACAUAGGGAGCAAGCGUUAUCCGGAUUUAUUGGGUGUAAAGGGUGCGUAGACGGGAAAUUAAGUUAGUUGUGAAAUCCCUUGGCUUAACUGAGGAACUGCAACUAAAACUGGUUUUCUUGAGUACUGGAGAGGAAAGUGGAAUUCCUAGUGUAGCGGUGAAAUGCGUAGAUAUUAGGAGGAACACCAGUGGCGAAGGCGACUUUCUGGACAGUAACUGACGUUGAGGCACGAAAGUGUGGGG